rnacentral:rRNA from 1 species
GACGAACGCUGGCGGCGUGCUUAACACAUGCAAGUCGAACGGACAGGCCCUGCUUUUGUGGGUUGCUCGAUUGGCGCACGGGUGAGUAACACGUGAGUAACCUGCCCUUGUCUUUGGGAUAACUUCAGGAAACUGGGGCUAAUACCGGAUAGGAGCUCCUGCUGCAUGGUGGGGGUUGGAAAGUUUCGGCGGUUGGGGAUGGACUCGCGGCUUCUCAGCUUGUUGGUGGGGUAGUGGCUUACCAAGGCUUUGACGGGUAGCCGGCCUGGGAGGGGGACCGGGGACAAUGGGACUGAGAGAGGGCGCAGACUGGUACGGGAGGCAGCAGGGGGGAAUAUGGCAGAAUGGGGGGAAGCGUGAUGUAGCAACGCCGCGAGCGGGAUGACGGGUUACGAGUGGUAAACCGAUGUGGCCGGUGACGAAGCGUGAGUGACGGUAAUGGGUAAAGAAGCACCGGCUAACUACGUG